UACGUAGGGCGCAAGCGUUGUCCGGAAUUAUUGGGCGUAAAGAGCUCGUAGGCGGACUGUCACGUCUGCUGUGAAAAGCUGGGGCUUAACCCUGGCCUUGCAGUGGAUACGGGCAGACUAGAGGUAGGUAGGGGAGAAUGGAAUUCCCGGUGUAGCGGUGAAAUGCGCAGAUAUCGGGAGGAACACCGGUGGCGAAGGCGGGUCUCUGGGCCGAUACUGACGCUGAGGAGCGAAAGCGUGGGGAGCGAACAGG
rnacentral:rRNA from 1 species